ACUGGGGCUUAUAAAGUUUACUGUUUUAUAACUUUUAAAAGGAAAGACGGCAUCCGUGUAAGCAGUCGGUAAAUGUGCAAAUCUCUAGUUGCGCUUUAGCCGUUCUGAGGAGUUUCCCAAUGGAGCUAGGAUGGGAAUUCCACACAUGCACCUAGCCCCUUUCCCAGGGCUCCAGACAUCACUCUGGUCGGAAAACCGGGCAAAUGAAGCAGGCAACCAUCGGAGAACUCUGAAUUAACCGCGGCUCCCAGAAGCUCCAGCCUCUCUGACAGCUGUCGCUACGGCAGCCCAGGAGACGAAUUGUCCUCCUUCCUGGUGCCAGAGGACGCAGGAAAUUAGCCAGGUUGUGAGUUGCAAAGCGGCGGCUGCUGCUCCAGGAACUGGACGCGCCCCACCUCCAGCGCCAGCGGCCGGCCUGGGCCUGGCAGUGCCUUCCCCUCGCUCGCCAUCGCCGGACAAAGCGGAGCCCAAGCAGGCUGGGAAGGCAGAGCUCCGAAGCACGCAGGACGGAGCGGAGCAAAAGAAUGCGGCUCUAUUCUCGCAAGGGAAAUUAUAAAAAAGUUCAUGUUCACGGUUCCUAUCCACAUGACCGACAGCGGCCAAUGGAAGGGCCGAACAACUCAUAAAGUUGUAUUGCAAAGUUGUAAAUUUUCAUAAACAACAACGGAUUUAUGACCCUUUCCCCAUCACUAAGAGGAGGCAGCUCUUACACCGGCGCCAUCUUACCACCGAGGCUGUCCCGACUUGGGGCUGCAGGUUUUACAGACCCUUUUAGGUUCGAUUUUAUUAAAAGAAUCCUAAGAAGCUGGUUCAACCCAGCCAGGAGAUAAGAAUGGAGAUCUUCGCGGGCCAAACUCGGGAUGCUCUAAGCUACUUCCACCGCCCCUCGCCCCUGGUCCCUGGCUGCUCGCUCCUUUCCCAACCACAGUCCCUCUUCUGCAUCAGGACUUGCCUAGGUUGCGCAGCCGGGUCUGAGGCCCUUGGCAGCCCCAGAACCCCUCCGCUGCAGUGUUGGGCCCUGGGGCAUCCUCGCCUCUACUGAAGGCUAAGUGGGGGUGCUGCGGCAAGGACCCUGAAUCCUAUUUCCUACUCUAGGGCUGGACUCAGGGCGCAUGCGGAAUCCGGAAUCAAUUGGAGGGUAGGUAAUACCCUUUGAGAGCUCAGUCUACACCUUUAGAGGAAAGGUUGAAUUUGGAAUUCGUUCUUGGAAUUUGUGGACGUUUGGGAGGUCACAGAUAAAAUAUACUGUAUUAACUAAUAGCUGUUUUCAAUGGAUCUAGGUAAUUGGUGCACACAAUAGACAGACAAAAACAUCUACAAAGAGGAAGGCACGGAUACAAUUGUAGACGCAGAAAAAUGGACGCAUAGACACAGAAAAACGUGCAGUUGGACACAGAAACGCACACAUCCAAUUAUAGACAUGGAAAAUGUUGACACACAACACAGAUGUACACACAUUAUGGAUGUGUAAAUGUACACAAUUAUGAAAACUUGAAGCAACCACAAACAAAAAAUAUAGAAGCACGCUUACUCACACAAAUCUACACACACACAUGGGAAAAGAGACAGGACACAUAUAUACAUGAAUAACUAAAACUGAGACUCAAGGACAGUCUCUCUAUGGUGGCUUCCCCUUGGUCCUUUGACCUACAAGGCUUGCCCUUCACCUAUGGCCACCUCCCCUCGCCCCAGACCCUCUGGAUAAAACAGUCCACGUUUCUUUUUCACCAAGCAUCUUUAUUGAUACAUAAAACAUAGGUAACUGGGCUGGUAAGCAUGCCUUCCCCGAACCCAGGCUGGGUCUACGGGGGACAUGGGACAACACGGGAGAUAAUGGGCACCCGGGUGGGUAUUGGACCUCUCCCACCCACAACAGAAUUAGUUCAACACAACACAUCAUGCUACAAAGUCACCCCAUUUAAAACAGCCUUCCCAAAUCAAGACAUUCCUUUACAAAUGAGCUCCAAGAUUAUAGAAAUGACAAAAAAAAAAAAAAAAAUCUGGU